UGGGGAAUAUUGCACAAUGGGGGGAACCCUGAUGCAGCGACGCCGCGUGAGCGAAGAAGUAUUUCGGUAUGUAAAGCUCUAUCAGCAGGGAAGAAAAUGACGGUACCUGACUAAGAAGCACCGGCUAAAUACGUGCCAGCAGCCGCGGUAAUACGUAUGGUGCAAGCGUUAUCCGGAUUUACUGGGUGUAAAGGGAGCGUAGACGGCUGUGCAAGUCUGAAGUGAAAGGCCGGGGCCCAACCCUGGGAGUGCUUUGGAAACUGUGCGGCUAGAGUGUCGGAGAGGCAAGUGGAAUUCCCAGUGUAGCGGUGAAAUGCGUAGAUAUUGGGAGGAACACCAGUGGCGAAGGCGUCUUGCUGGACGAUGACUGACGUUGAGGCUCGAAAGCGUGGGGAGCAAACAGG
rnacentral:rRNA from 1 species